AGGGUUCGAUCCUGGCUCAGGAUGAACGCUGGCGGCGUGCUUAACACAUGCAAGUCGAACGAAGCACUUCAAUCGAUUUCUUCGGAAUGAAGUUUUAGUGACUGAGGGGCGGACGGGUGAGUAACGCGUGAGCAACCUGCCCUUCGGAACGGGAUAGUGUCUGGAAACGGACAGUAAUACCGUAUAACGUAUUUUUACCGCAUGAUAGAAAUACCAAAACUGAGGUGCCGAAGGAUGGGCUCGCGUCUGAUUAGAUAGUUGGUGGGGUAACGGCCUACCAAGUCGACGAUCAGUAGCCGGACUGAGAGGUUGAACGGCCACAUUGGGACUGAGACACGGCCCAG
rnacentral:rRNA from 1 species